GCAGGACUUGCUGGUUUGCAAAGAAAGGGGAAAUUUGACACAGUUUCGGUGUGAUCGAGAACUUCAACGUGAACCAUCCGCAUCUUUCAGGAGUGCAGGGCAGGACAGAUCUGCGACAAGUGACCCCAGAUCACGGUUCGCAAUAUUGAAAGAAUAAAAAUGCGGCAUGUUUUCCCCAAUUGGAUGACAAUGCAGGUAUUCUGGUUAUGCAGUGUAAUUGACGGGUUUUUCGGCCGUACCUCCUGGACUGCAAACUGACGUGAUGGUCGUCAUCAUCGUGGCUGUGGAAGUUGGCCAAGGACA
rnacentral:sRNA from 1 species